rnacentral:miRNA from 1 species
AGUAAGAACUUAUUUUCGGCGGCU